rnacentral:rRNA from 1 species
GACGAACGCUGGCGGCGUGCCUAAUACAUGCAAGUUGAGCGAUGAAGAUUGGUGCUUGCACCAAUUUGAAGAGCAGCGAACGGGUGAGUAACGCGUGGGGAAUCUGCCUUUGAGCGGGGGACAACAUUUGGAAACGAAUGCUAAUACCGCAUAACAACUUUAAACAUAAGUUUUAAGUUUGAAAGAUGCAAUUGCAUCACUCAAAGAUGAUCCCGCGUUGUAUUAGCUAGUUGGAGAGGUAAAGGCUCACCAAGGCGAUGAUACAUAGCCGACCUGAGAGGGUGAUCGGCCACAUUGGGACUGAGACACGGCCCAAACUCCUACGGGAGGCAGCAGUAGGGAAUCUUCGGCAAUGGACGAAAGUCUGACCGAGCAACGCCGCGUGAGUGAAGAAGGUUUUCGGAUCGUAAAACUCUGUUGGUAGAGAAGAACGUUGGUGAGAGUGGAAAGCUCAUCAAGUGACGGUAACUACCCAGAAAGGGACGGCUAACUACGUG